GACGAACGCUGGCGGCGUGCUUAACACAUGCAAGUCGAACGGAAAGGCCCUGCUUUUGUGGGGUGCUCGAGUGGCGAACGGGUGAGUAACACGUGAGUAACCUGCCCUUGACUUUGGGAUAACUUCAGGAAACUGGGGCUAAUACCGGAUAGGAGCUCCUGCUGCAUGGUGGGGGUUGGAAAGUUUCGGCGGUUGGGGAUGGACUCGCGGCUUAUCAGCUUGUUGGUGGGGUAGUGGCUUACCAAGGCUUUGACGGGUAGCCGGCCUGAGAGGGUGACCGGCCACAUUGGGACUGAGAUACGGCCAAGACUCCUACGGGAGGAAGCAGUGGGGAUUAUUGCAAAAGGGGCGGAAGCCUGAUGCAGCAACGCCGCGUGCGGGAUGACGGCCUUCGGGUGGUAAACCGCUUUCGCCUGUGACGAAGCGUGAGUGACGGUAAUGGGUAAAGAAGCACCGGCUAACUACGUG
rnacentral:rRNA from 1 species